rnacentral:rRNA from 1 species
UGCCAGCAGCCGCGGUAAUUCCAGCUCCAAUAGCGUAUAUUAAAGUUGCUGCGGUUAAAACGCUCGUAGUUGAAUUGUGGUCUUAGACAACAGUCCCCCUACAAAGGUGUGGCACGGUUGCUCGAGAUCUUCAUUCGUGGUUGCUGUUGUUGCUCUUCAUUGAGUGUCAAUGGUGCCUCGAGAUUUUACUUUGAAAAAAUUAGAGUGCUCAAAGCAGGUUGUGAUGCCUGAAUAAUGGUGCAUGGAAUAAUAGAAUACGAUCUCGGUUCUAUUUUGUUGGUUUUCGAACCGGAGAUAAUGAUUGAAAGGAACAGACGGGGGCAUUCGUAUUGCUGCGUUAGAGGUGAAAUUCUUGGAUCGCAGCAAGAUGAACAAUUGCGAAAGCAUUUGCCAAGAAUGUUUUCAUUAAUCAAGAACGAAAGUUAGAGGUUCGAAGGCGAUCAGAUACCGCCCUAGUUCUAACGGUAAACUAUGCCAACCAGCGAUUCGCCGAAGUUCAUUUAAGACUCGGCGAGCAGCUUCCGGGAAACCAAAGUGUUUCGGUUCCGGGGGAAGUAUGGUUGCAAAGCUGAAACUUAAAGGAAUUGACGGAAGGGCACCACCAGGAGUGGAGCCUGCGGCUUAAUUUGACGCAACACGGGAAAACUCACCCGGCCCGGACACUGGAAGGAUUGACAGAUUGACAGCUCUUUCUUGAUUCAGUGGGUAGUGGUGCAUGGCCGUUCUUAGUUGGUGGAGCGAUUUGUCUGGUUAAUUCCGAUAACGAACGAGACUCUACCCUAUUAAAUAGUGACAGUAUUGUAUUUUUUGUGCUGAUCACUUCUUAGAGGGACUGGCAAAAAGCUGCACGAAAAAGAGCAAUAACAGGUCUGUGAUGCCCUUCGAUGUCCGGGGCUGCACGCGCGCUACAAUGAAAGCGUCAACGUGAGUUACGUCCUUACCUGAAAAGGUUUGGCAAUCGAAUGAAACGUUUUCUUGAAUGGAAUAGGGAAUUGCAAUUGUUUCCCUUGAACGAGGAAUUCCCAGUAAGCGUGAGUCAUUAGCUCGCGUUGAUUACGUCCCUGCCCUUUGUACACACCGCCCGUCGCUACUACCGAUUGGAUGAUUUAGUGAGGUGUUUUGACUGGCGCCAGUAGUCGGAUAUGUAUUCGGACGGAUCGUACAAACCGACCUUUCGAAACGGCGGCCAGACGUUCUCGUCAUCCGAAUAGUCCGACGGAUCCUG